GGCCUCCACCCACCACAAACACCCUCUCGCCCGCACUCACCCAGCUGGGGAUUUGCCCAGCUGUUAUUUCUGAGCUGGGGAAACUUUGGGAUUCUUAAAACAAGAAGCCAAGAAGCAGACCUGCGUUUCUGCCCUUGGGGAACUCCGAGUUCUUCCCUGCACAAGGCUGUCAGGGAACCUGGGCCACACCUGCUGCUGGAGGGAAAGGAAGAGUCAUUGGACCUUGCUUUGAACUUGCCAUGCAAUGCGUGUAGGAUUCGAAGUUAAAGGCUGGGACAGGAGAGGACAGGCUGGCCUCUCUUGGUAUUGGAUUUGGAAGUCAAGUGCCAAGAGAAAGCUAUUUGGGAAAGCCAGCGUUUCGGUCCAGACUGCUCUGCAGUGAUGUGCCCCUCCCUGCCUUCCUAAUUCCCUCUGGGUCUUCCUUUGUCCCUGCUUCCAUCUCUGGGUCUCUGUGCCACUGUUCCUUGGCUUUCUACUCAAGGCAGCCUCGAAAAGGUGCUGGGAUUGACUGUUCUCCUUCAACUGGAUGAAUGCGUAGCCCCACCCUUCUCACAAAAAAUAUUCUUCCACCUUCUGUGGCCAGCCCCCCAUCUAAGACUGUAUCAGCACAUCGCCAGGGCAAAAGACUGGCCAGCUGACUCCCAGGGCUCCAUUUUCCAGGCAGACACUGGCAAACUCCUGUCAGUGUCAACCACCAUCUGACCUGGAAAUGCCAACCUGCUGCCAUUCCCCCACAGUCUGAAUUAUGCUGAAAUGAAGUCUCCUUGGCUCAGAGGAUCACGGAGGGUCUCAGCCCCAAGUAACCCAAAGGUCAAAGGUCAAGUGAAGUGCAUCCCUAACGAGACCGCAGAGCAGAGGGAGGACUCUUUUCCCAGAUCCAGGCAUCCCAUCUUUACUUCCUGGCUGGACACACCUGGCCUCUCUCUCUGGGGAUUGUCCUUCUGCCUGAGGAGUUUUCGCACACAAUGGUUGGCAGACUUCGGCAUUUAUUUUCAUCACCAUUUAAAGGUGAAUGGCAUUUGUCACAUUCCUUCCUGGCUGGCUUUGAUGUGGGGCGAUUUCCCACUCCCUAAUGACAGGUGAGGAGCCAGCCAGCUAACACCCAGCACCUCUGGGCAGCCUGGCUAUCCCUGCCCAAUCUGGUUCCCACAGCUGUUGCUUGUUUUCGGUAUCUAUUUCGGGGACUUUAAUUAAGAUCCUCUUUAAUGAUGGAGAGGAACUUCUCCAGUGAUUACCUCCUCACUUUUACAGCUCUCUCAGGCUCUUUCUCUUCCCUCCUCCUCUCGGCUCCCACAGUCUCCACUCCUCACCCCACAGUCACAGCUGAGGACACAGGCUUCUCUGCGGGGCCUUGGGGGUUCAGAGCCUCAGGUCUUAGGAGGGGGGCUCCCCCCACCAGACAGUGCAGCAAUGCUCAGUUGCACCAUAGCAAUAACACACAAGAUCAUUUUAAAGCCCAUGCCCUAAACAAACUGCAAAACUACAGUGUAGCACAGUACCUCACAAAUGAAAGGGAAAUAAAAUGAAUAAAAAGAUUGAC